rnacentral:rRNA from 1 species
GACAGAGGAUGCAAGCGCUAUCCGGAAUGAUUGGGCGUAAAGCGUCUGUAGGUGGCUUUUUAAGUCCGCCGUCAAAUCCCAGGGCUCAACCCUGGACAGGCGGUGGAAACUACCAAGCUGGAGUACGGUAGGGGCAGAGGGAAUUUCCGGUGGAGCGGUGAAAUGCGUAGAGAUCGGGAGGAACACCUGUGGCGAAGGCGGCCAGCUGGGCCGGACCUGACGCUGAGACGCGAAGGCGUGGGGAGCGAACGGG